GGAUAGGUGGCAGAGCGGUCUAACGCAGCGGUCUUGAAAACCGCCGUCCAUGAAAGUGGACCGUGAGUUCGAAUCUCACCCUAUCCGCCA
rnacentral:tRNA from 1 species